rnacentral:lncRNA from 1 species
UUCCACCAAGAAUCAAGUCUCCCUGCUCAAAAUUGUCCUUCAAACUGUUAAUUGUACGUUCUGAAAAGAACCUUUUUUCGUCAAUCAAACAUGGUGAAAGGUUUCAAAUCUGUGGUUUCACCUACAUCCAAUAAUAGGUUUAGACGGAACAGAUAAGAUUGGUAAGGUUGUGGUCGGCUCUAGUUCUUGCACUGGUAACGUCUCCUCUUUGCUUUUUUUUUGUGUUGAGUUCCGUUCUUAGGCUUGAUUUUCAUGGUUUAGAAUGGUUUGAUAUCCGCUUGUGUGGUAAGAGGAUUGCAUUAAUAAUCGGUUUGUAUUUGCGUUUGGAGAAGAUAGUAGAACUAGCGAACUAUGUUGGUGUUUGGCUUAGCCGACAUUGGAAUAGGAUAUUUGUAAAAUGAAUUGUGAAGCUCUCUAUUUUGGUGCCAGAUCUAGGUGUGUUAUUAAAACUUCGAUUCAUAGACGUUGGAAAAUGGAAAGUGGAGCGUUUUAUUGUUACUGUCUGACAACAAAUGCUACACAGUUGAAGUGUUGAAAAAAAAAAUCCAUUGAUUUUGUUUCCAUGUUUUUGUUUUAUUUUCUUGACUGUAGGACCGACCAAUUUAUAUAAGUUAAACAAUUUGGAAUCACAACAAUGUAAUACCUAAGCUAUUCAUUUUAUCUAAUAUUUAGUUGACAAAAAAAUAUAUAAUAUUUAUAUUAUUUAUUAUUAACCAGAAAGGCAUGAUUAUACUUUUUAAAAGAACUUUGAAAUUUAAUUAGUUGAAUGGAAACUCGACUGAUAGU